rfam:Cricetulus griseus cell line CHO-K1, whole genome shotgun sequence.
AUCUACAGCCAUACCACCCUGAACUCUCCCCAGCUCAUCUGAUCUCGGAGGCUAAGUGGGGUUGGGCCUGGUUAGUACUUGGAUGGGAGAAGUCCGUUCUCUCCCUCCACCAUGUGGGCCCGAGGGAUUGAACUCAGGCUGUCAGCC